AUGAAUGAUGUACUGGAGAAGGUCGGGAAGUGGCUCGCCAUCUUGUUCGGAGUGGCGCUGCUGAUCUUAGCCUGCUACGGGCUACGCCAACUUUGGCUGGCCUGGCGGGCUGGCGUGCAAGCCAUCGGCGUCGUCGCCGGGGACCUGGAGGCGCGAGUCCCCCGCGUGGGAGCGGGAGCGGACGUCCUCAACGAAGGUGAGGCGCACGACGAGGUCGCCGGCGCGGGAGCGGGAGGGCACGUGCUUGCCGCCGGUGAGGCGGACGGCGUGGUCGCCGCUGCCGUGGACCUGGAGGCCGGACUCGCCGCCGUGGGAGAUGGAGCGGACGUCCUCGCGGAAGGUGAGGCGGAGGGCGAGGUCGCCGGCGCGGGAGCGGGAGGGCACGUGCUUGCCGCCGGUGAGGCGGACGGCGUGGUCGCCGCUGCCGUGGACCUGGAGGCCAGACUCGCCGCUGUGGGAGCGGGAGCGGACGUCCUCGCGGAAGGUGAGGCGAAUGGCGAGGUCGCCGGCGAUGGAGCGGGAGACGACGUGGUCGCCGCCGCCGGGGCGGCGGAUCCGGUGGACGUGGGAGCAGGAGAAGAAGGCGAGGAGGCGUUCCACUUCCACGGCAUAUCCGAGUCAGGCACGGACUUUACGGCCUCGCAGCCGGGGAGUGAUUCCGCCAGCUCCUCGUCGUCGUCGUCAGAAUUCGAGCUCGAGUGA
rnacentral:rRNA from 1 species